UCACCUGACACCAUUCUCCUACAUAUGUGUAUUUUGUUGAGAAUUUGAUUAUUUUCUAAUGCCAAGUUCUCUUGAAAUUUAAGGCUGUGGAGACACAAUUCACCUCUUGGGGCUGAGACGAUGGGGUUUUCUAAAUAUACAAUUCAUGUCAUCUCCAAACAGUGACAAUUUGACUUCCUCUCUCUGCAGCAAGUUCUUGCUCAUCUUUAGAAAGGAAAUGGCUCAGAUUUGGUAGCUUUUAGCCCAUCUAGGACUAAAGCCAUGUUUAUUUAGAAAUUCAUGUGAACACCAGAUAAAUGUAGACUACUUAUUUGAGACAUUAGUUCGCUGUUUCUUUGUUACGAUUAAGUAUCUGUUUGGAUUUUUAAUUAUUUAAACACUCACCAAGCUAGAUAAAUCAUGGAGACAAUAAAGAUGAGUAACACAAAUGCCCCAGCUGCUACACCGUAAACCCAGGUCUUUAGUCUCCCAUCUAAGAAGAAUGGAUAUUAGUUAUUAAUUUACAUUAGUCUGGUAUACAUGAGGCAGUCUUUAACUAUGACCAAUGAUCAGUCAUAUAUGACCAAUUUCUUUCAAAACCCGAAAAGAAUUAUUGCUUCAGCACAGUUAAUGAUUAAUGCAAAGCUGCUAUUAUGAGUUAGAUUCUGCUUCAUUAAAGAUAAGCUAUCAAGGAAAAUUGAACUGAAAAAUUAUAAAUGUUUGACUUCAGAUUUCAAGUUUCUUUGGCUAAACUUCAGCUGCCUUUCAUCUCAAUUUUACUUCAAACUCAAUACAUGUGUAAUGCUAUAUAAACAUUUUCUUCUGAUUUUCAGUGUAUUUUGAGAAUUGCAAUGAUAAGAAAAGAUGAAAAAUGCAAUUUUAAGAAAGUUUCUACAAACUCGAGUUAAUGCAUAUAGGUAUUUAAACAAAAACUUUGUCAUUUUUGUUCCAGGUAAAAUGAAAGUGAAUAUAUUUAACAUUUUAUGGAAUUAAUAAUCUUUUAUCUAGUCUGCACUUACAAUGUGUUUUAAAAUUGGCUGACAAUGUCAUUUUCA
rnacentral:lncRNA from 1 species